rnacentral:rRNA from 1 species
UAGAUACCCUGGUAGUCCACGCUGUAAACGAUGAGUACUAGGUGUCGGGGGUUACCCCCCUCGGUGCCGCAGCUAACGCAUUAAGUACUCCGCCUGGGGAGUACGCACGCAAGUGUGAAACUCAAAGGAAUUGACGGGGACCCGCACAAGUAGCGGAGCAUGUGGUUUAAUUCGAAGCAACGCGAAGAACCUUACCUAAGCUUGACAUCCCUCGGACAGGUGUUUAAUCACACCCUCCUUCGGGACUGAG